AUCUAAAUAGUUUAUUUAAAAUAUAAAUUUGUGGAAUUUAAGAAAUGUUUUAUUUUAGGUA
rnacentral:tRNA from 2 species